GAUUAUGGCUCAGGAUGAACACUGGCGGCGUGCCUAACACAUGCAAGUCGAACGAAGCACGGUGGAAUGAGAUUCGUCGAAGGAAACCGUGACUUAGUGGCGGACGGGUGAGUAAUGUAUGAGCAACCUGCCUUUCAGAGGGGGACAACAGUUGGAAACGACUGCUAAUACCGCAUGAUGUAUUGACGGGGCAUCCCGAUGAUACCAAAGGAGCAAUCCGCUGAAAGAUGGGCUCAUAUCUGAUUAGUUAGUUGGCAGGGUAACGGCCUACCAAGACUUCGAUCAGUAGCCGGACUGAGGGGUUGAACGGCCACAUUGGGACUGAGAUACGGCCCAGACUCCUACGGGAGGCAGCAGUGGGGAAUAUUGGGCAAUGGGCGAAAGCCUGAACCCCAGCAACGCCGCGUGAAGGAAGAAGGUCUUCGGAUUGUAAACUUCUUUUAUGAGGGACGAAGGACGUGACGGUACCUCAUGAAUAAGCCACGGCUAACUACGUGCCAGCAGCUGC
rnacentral:rRNA from 1 species